AGUGGGCCAUCUUCCGCAAUGGACGAAAGUCUGACGGAGCAACGCCGCGUGAGUGACGAAGGUUUUCGGAUCGUAAAGCUCUGUUAUCGGGGAAGAACACUCUUCAUGUGAACAAUGUGGAGAGAUGACGGUACCUGAUGAGGAAGCCACGGCUAACUACGUGCCAGCAGCCGCGGUAAUACGUAGGUGGCGAGCGUUGUCCGGAAUUAUUGGGCGUAAAGCGCGCGCAGGCGGGAUAUUAAGUCUGCUCUAAAAGUGCGGGACUCAACCCCGUAGAGGGGUAGAAACUAAUAUUCUUGAGUGCCGGAGAGGAAAGCGGAAUUCCCAGUGUAGCGGUGAAAUGCGUAGAUAUUGGGAGGAACACCAGUGGCGAAGGCGGCUUUCUGGACGGUGUCUGACGCUGAGGCGCGAAAGCCAGGGGAGCGAACGGGAUUAGAUACCCCGGUAGUCCUGGCCGUAAACGAUGGGUACUAGGUGUAGGAGGUAUCGACCCCUUCUGUGCCGGAGUUAACGCAAUAAGUACCCCGC
rnacentral:rRNA from 1 species